CGCGAAUUCGCCCUUAGAGUUUGAUCCUGGCUCAGAACNNNUNNUGGCGGCGUGGAUUAGGCAUGCAAGUCGAACGAGAACUUANAGAGUGGAGGCUUCGGCCAAAGCACUCUAAGAGAGAGUGGCGAAAGGGUGAGUAACACGUGGGUAAUUUGCCUCUAGGCGGGGGACAACAUUCCGAAAGGAGUGCUAAUACCGCAUAAGACCACAGUAUCUCCGGAUACCGAGGUCAAAGGUGGCCUCUAUUUAUAAGCUAUCACCUAGAGAUGAGCCCGCGCCUUAUCAGCUUGUUGGUAGGGUAAUGGCCUACCAAGGCUUUGACGAGUAGCUGGUCUGAGAGGAUGGUCAGCCACAUCGGGACUGAGACACUGCCCGGACUCCUACGGGAGGCUGCAGUCGAGAAUCUUUCGCAAUGGGGGAAACCCUGACGAAGCGACGCCGCGUGCAGGAUGACGGCCCUCGGGUUGUAAACUGCUGUCGCCUGGGAAGAAACAUAUGGAAGCUAACAUCUUCCAUAAUUGACGGUACCAGGAAAGGAAGCAACGGCUAACUCUGUGCCAGCAGCCGCGGUAAUACAGAGGUUGCUAGCGUUGUUCGGAUUUAUUGGGUGUAAAGGGUGUGUAGGCGGUUCGGUAAGUCAGAUGUGAAAGCCCAGGGCUCAACCCUGGAACUGCAUUUGAUACUGCCAAACUAGAGUACGUUAGAGG
rnacentral:rRNA from 1 species